rnacentral:rRNA from 1 species
UACGUAGGGGGCAAGCGUUGUCCGGAUUUAUUGGGCGUAAAGAGCGUGUAGGCGGCCAGAUAGGUCCGUUGUGAAAACUGGAGGCUUAACCUCCAGCGGUCGAUGGAAACCAUUUGGCUAGAGUCCGGAAGAGGAGAGUGGAAUUCCUGGUGUAGCGGUGAAAUGCGUAGAUAUCUGGAGGAACACCGGUGGCGAAGGCGGCAUCCUGGACCAACACUGACGCUGAGUGAGCGAAAGCCAGGGGAGCAAACGGG